CCUACGGGGCGCAGCAGUGAGGAAUAUUGGUCAAUGGGCGGGAGCCUGAACCAGCCAAGCCGCGUGAAGGAAGAAGGCGCCAGGCGUCGUAAACUUCUUUUGUCGGGGAACAAAGGGCGCCACGCGUGGCGUUGUGAGUGUACCCGAAGAAAAAGCAUCGGCUAACUCCGUGCCAGCAGCCGCGGUAAUACGGAGGAUGCGAGCGUUAUCCGGAUUUAUUGGGUUUAAAGGGUGCGUAGGCGGGAUGCCAAGUCAGCGGUAAAAAUGCGGUGCUCAACGCCGUCGAGCCGUUGAAACUGGCGUUC
rnacentral:rRNA from 1 species